rnacentral:rRNA from 1 species
CCCCUUCGGGGGCAGAGUGACAGGUGNNGCAUGGUUGUCGUCAGCUCGUGUCGUGAGAUGUUGGGUUAAGUCCCGCAACGAGCGCAACCCUUGAUCUUAGUUGCCAGCAUUCAGUUGGGCACUCUAAGGUGACUGCCGGUGACAAACCGGAGGAAGGUGGGGAUGACGUCAAAUCAUCAUGCCCCUUAUGACCUGGGCUACACACGUGCUACAAUGGGCAGAACAAAGGGCAGCGAAGCCGCGAGGCUAAGCCAAUCCCACAAAUCUGUUCUCAGUUCGGAUCGCAGUCUGCAACUCGACUGCGUGAAGCUGGAAUCGCUAGUAAUCGCGGAUCAGCAUGCCGCGGUGAAUACGUUCCCGGGCCUUGUACACACCGCCCGUCACACCACGAGAGUUUGUAACACCCGAAGUCGGUGAGGUAACCUUUUGGAGCCA